AUGCCACUUACCAUUGCUAAUCUAUCUACAAAGCUCGACUGGAUUACAAUAGGUAGAAACAAAAUAACUGGGACCAUACCUGCAGGGCUAGGAAAGUAUAAAAAACUUACAAAGUUUAACAUCGCAAAUAGCCUUUUCACAGGCACCUUGCCUCUAGAUAUUUGCCAGAUUCCUAGCCUACAGUAUCUCGAUCUAUCCCAUAAUAGAUUCUAUGGGAAGAUUCCACAAUCAUUAGGCAAUAUCACGCAAUUGAACAACCUCUCUCUUUCUAAUAACUUUCUGGACGGCAUCAUUCCAUCGAGCAUUGGAAAUCUCACAAAACUUAUAUCUCUGGAUCUUUCCGGUAACUCAUUGAGGGGGGAAAUCCCAUAUGAGAUACUUAGUAUUACCUCUCCGACCUUACUUCUCAACCUCUCCAGCAAUGCUCUUAGUGGCUCCAUUCCAACACAUAUAGGAAAGUUGAACAACCUUGUUACAAUCGACUUAUCAAUGAACAAGCUCUCUAGUGAAAUCCCAGAUGCUCUCGGCAGUUGCGUCCAACUGAAUUUCCUUUAUUUGCAAGGAAAUCUUUUGCAUGGGCAAAUACCAAAAGAUUUUUCUUCUAUAAGAGGCCUUGUAAAGUUGGAUCUUUCCAACAAUAAUUUAGUAGGACCCAUACCUGAGUUCCUCCAGAGUUAUGAGCUGCUAACGUAUCUAAACCUCUCUUUCAACAACCUAUCUGGUCCUGUGCCAAAUACAUGGAUCUUCUGCAAUUCCACUUUAAUGUUGCUCCCUGGUAAUAGCAUGCUAUGCGGACGUCCCCCAUCACUGAAACUGUCUUCAUGUCCAUAUAUACGUUCUAACCAGGCUUCACAGCAUCGACGUCGGGUCAUACUCUUUUGCAUGGUUGGAACUUUGGUCUUAUCCAUGUGCUCCCUAACUGCAUGCUACUUGAUGAAGCCAAGAAUCAAACCAAACAUUUUUGAUCAAGAAACCAGAUUUCACCAUGAGAGGAUAUCCUAUGCUGAGAUAGAUGCAGCAAUGGAAUCAUUCUCACCGGAAAAUUUCAUUGGUUCUGGAAGUUCUGGCAAUGUGUACGUUGGAACUCUAAAUCUUGAUGAGAGUUUAUAUACUGUAGCAAUCAAGGUUCUCAAUCUUGGCAAACGAGGAGCUAAUAGAAGCUUCUUGAGAGAGUGUGAGGCCCUAAGGAAGAUUCGACACCGGAAACUUGUCAAAGUGAUCACUGUGUGUAGCAGUUUGGACCAUAAUGGUGAUGAGUUCAAGGCACUUGUCUUAGAGUUUAUCUGCAACGGAAAUUUAGAUGAGUGGCUGCAUCCAAACUCCAUGACUAACAACAGGAACUUUAGAAGGCUAAGUUUGAUGGAAAGGCUAUGCAUUGCUCUUGAUGUUGCUAAGGCAUUAGAAUAUCUUCACCAUCAAAUUGAGCCAUCCAUAGUUCACUGUGAUAUCAAACCAUGCAACAUCCUUCUAGAUGAUGACUUUGUUGCGCACGUCACCGACUUUGAUCUGGCAAAGAUAAUGCAUACUGAAGAAUGUGAGCAUGGUGGUGGUGGAACUGCAAGCAGCUCAUUUGUGAUUAAAGGCACAAUUGGAUACGUCGCACCAGAGUAUGGCUCGGGAUCUGAACCCUCCACAGAAGGUGACAUAUAUAGCUACGGGGUGUUGCUAUUAAAAAUAUUUACUGGAAGGAGGCCAACCGACAAUUUCAUAGAUGGUGUGAUAAGCCUUGUCAAAUAUGUCAGGGUGGCCUAUCCUGAUAAGCUACUGAAUAUAUUGGAUGCGAGUGCAACCUACAGCGGAGACAUGCAGCGUACUGUAGAUAUGUUCUUGUAUCCUGUGUUUAAGCUUGGCCUAGCUUGCUGCGAGGAUUCCCCAAGGCACAGAAUGAAGAUAAACGACGUAGUCAAGGAAUUGAACACCAUAAAGAGAGCAUGUGAGGCUCAUAUGGCUGUCCAUGAAUUUUGA
rnacentral:rRNA from 1 species